rnacentral:tRNA from 1 species
GCGGGUAUAGCAUAAUGGUAAUGUACCAGCCUUCCAAGCUGUGGAUACGGGUUCGAUUCCCGUUACCCGCU